UACGGAGGGUGCAAGCGUUAUCCGGAUUCACUGGGUUUAAAGGGUGUGUAGGCGGGCUGUUAAGUCAGUGGUGAAAUCUCAAGGCUCAACCUUGAAACUGCCAUUGAUACUAUCAGUCUUGAAUCUUGUUGAGGUAGGCGGAAUAUGUCAUGUAGCGGUGAAAUGCUUAGAUAUGACAUAGAACACCGAUUGCGAAGGCAGCUUACUAAACAAGCAUUGACGCUGAGGCACGAAAGCGUGGGGAUCAAAC
rnacentral:rRNA from 1 species